rnacentral:rRNA from 1 species
GACGAACGCUGGCGGCGUGCUUAACACAUGCAAGUCGACGAAGAGCGAUGGAAGCUUGCUUCUAUCAAUCUUAGUGGCGAACGGGUGAGUAACGCGUAAUCAACCUGCCCUUCAGAGGGGGACAACAGUUGGAAACGAUGCUAAUACCGCAUACGAUCUAACCUUGGCAUCGAGGAUGGAUGAAAGGUGGCCUUACUUAUAAGCUAUCACUGAAGGAGGGGAUUGCGUCUGAUUAGCUAGUUGGAGGGGUAACGGCCCACCAAGGCGAUGAUCAGUAGCCGGUCUGAGAGGAUGAACGGCCACAUUGGGAGUGAGACACGGCCCAGACUCCUACGGGAGGCAGCAGUGGGGAAUCUUCCGCAAUGGACGAAAGUCUGACGGAGCAACGCCGCGUGAGCGAUGACG